CCUACGGGGGGCAGCAGUGAGGAAUAUUGGUCAAUGGACGAGAGUCUGAACCAGCCAAGUAGCGUGAAGGAUGACUGCCCUAUGGGUUGUAAACUUCUUUUAUAUGGGAAUAAAACGUUCCACGUGUGGGAUUUUGUAUGUACCAUAUGAAUAAGGAUCGGCUAACUCCGUGCCAGCAGCCGCGGUAAUACGGAGGAUCCGAGCGUUAUCCGGAUUUAUUGGGUUUAAAGGGAGCGUAGGUGGAUUGUUAAGUCAGUUGUGAAAGUUUGCGGCUCAACCGUAAAAUUGCAGUUGAAACUGGCAGUCUUGAGUACAGUAGAGGUGGGCGGAAUUCGUGGUGUAGCGGUGAAAUGUUUAGAUAUCACGAAGAACUCCGAUUGCGAAGGCAGUUCACUGGACUGCAACUGACACUGAGGCUCGAAAGUGUGGGUAUCAAACAGGAUUAGAUACCCGUGUAGUC
rnacentral:rRNA from 1 species